UACGAAGGGAGCUAGCGUUGUUCGGAAUCACUGGGCGUAAAGCGCACGUAGGCGGAUGUGUCAGUCAGGGGUGAAAUCCCGGAGCUCAACUUCGGAAUUGCCUUUGAUACUGUCUGUCUUCGAGUUCGGAGAGGUUGGCGGAAUUCCUAGUGUAGAGGUGAAAUUCGUAGAUAUUAGGAAGAACACCAGUGGCGAAGGCGGCCAAC
rnacentral:rRNA from 1 species